UAGGGAAUCUUCCGCAAUGGACGCAAGUCUGACGGAGCAACGCCGCGUGAGUGAAGAAGGAUUUCGGUUCGUAAAACUCUGUUGUUAGAGAAGUACAGCGCAUAGAGUAACUGUUAUGCGUGUGACGGUAUCUAACCAGAAAGCCACGGCUAACUACGUGCCAGCAGCCGCGGUAAUACGUAGGUGGCAAGCGUUGUCCGGAUUUAUUGGGCGUAAAGCGAGCGCAGGCGGUCAAUUAAGUCUGAUGUGAAAGCCCCCGGCUCAACCGGGGAGGGUCAUUGGAAACUGGUUGACUUGAGUGCAGAAGAGGAGAGUGGAAUUACAUGUGUAGCGGUGAAAUGCGUAGAUAUAUGGAGGAACACCAGUGGCGAAGGCGACUCUCUGGUCUGUAACUGACGCUGAGGCUCGAAAGCGUGGGUAGCAAACAGG
rnacentral:rRNA from 1 species